AGAUAAUUGUGUCUUGUACUGGAUGGCUAGACACUCAAAGCUACGGCGCCUAAGGAUGAGUCUGCGUCCGAUUAUGCUAGUUGGUGGUGUCACGGACCACCAAGGCGACGAUCGGUACGGGCCAUGAGAGUGGUAGCCCGGAGAUGGCCACUGAGACAACGGGCCAGGCCCUAUGGGGUGCAGCAGGCGCGAAAACUGGCCAAUGCGCGAAAGCGUGAGCCGGCCAAUCCGAGUGUAGGCCCAUCGGCCUACUUUUGUCAAGUGUACAACGCUUGGCGAAUAACGAGAGGGCAAGACUGGUGCCAGCCGCCGCGGUAAAACCAGCUCUUGGAGUGGUGAUCAUGAUUAUUUGGCUUAAAGUGUGCGUAGCAGGACAGCGUAAGUCCCCUGUGAAAUGCUAGGUCUUAAGCUUAGCACGUGCCGGGGAUACUGCGCGUCUUGGGACCGGGAUAGGUGUAAUGUACGGUUUGGGUGGGGGUGAAAUCCGAUAAUCCAAGCCGGACAACCGGUGGCGAAGGCGUUACACUGGAACGGGUCCGACUGUGAGGCACGAAAGCUAGGGUCGCGAGCCGGAUUAGAUACCCGGGUAGUCCUAUGCUGUAAACGAUGCUCAUUAAGUGUUAGGUAAUGCAAGACAUUCCCUAGUGCCG
rnacentral:rRNA from 1 species